rnacentral:lncRNA from 1 species
UUGAAAGAAGCCCCCCCACACACACACACACAAAGGAGUGGCACUAGUAAGAGGUGAGGCUUUAUUGGAGUAGGAAUGGCUUGUUGGAAGGAAUUGUGUCACUGUGGGGCAGACUUUGGGUCUCAAGGUUCCCUCAGUGAGUUGACUUCCUGUUCCCUGCAAGAUGUAGGACUCUCAGCUGCUCCUCUGCCUGCAUGCCGCCAUGUUCCCCUCAUGAUGAUAAUGGAGUGAACCUCUGAAGCUGGACUACGACAAGAAGAUGAUGGGUUUGAGGUUGGCCUGUGCUGCAUGACAAGCUCAAGUUCAACUCUCCCUCCAAAAACAAACAACAAACUUGUUAAGAAAACUCACACACACACCAAAAAAUUAGGAGGUGUGGCCUUGUUGGAGUAGAUGUGGUCUUGUUUGAGGAAGUGUGCUGCUGUGGAGGUGGGCUUUGAGGUCUCAUAUACACUCAAGUCUCAGACCACUUCCUGUCACCUGCAAAUCAAGACACAGGACUCUCAGCUACUUCUCCAGCACGUGUGAGCCUGCACACCGCCAUGUUGUACCAUCAAGAUGAUAAACCUCUGAAAAUGUCAGCCACCCCAAUUAAAUGCUUUUCCUUUGUAAGAGCUACCGUGGUCAUGAUGUCUCUUCACAGCAACAGAAACCCU